GUACGGGAGGCAGCAGUGGGGAAUCUUGCACAAUGGGGGAAACCCUGAUGCAGCGACGCCGCGUGAGCGAUGAAGCCCUUCGGGGUGUAAAGCUCUUUCGGCAGGGACGAUAAUGACGGUACCUGCAGAAGCAGCUGCGGCUAACUACGUGCCAGCAGCCGCGGUAAUACGUAGGCAGCGAGCGUUGUUCGGAGUUACUGGGCGUAAAGGGUGUGUAGGCGGUUGCUUAAGUUUGGUGUGAAAUCUCCCGGCUCAACUGGGAGGGUGCGCCGAAUACUGAGUGACUCGAGUGCGGGAGAGGAAAGUGGAAUUCCUGGUGUAGCGGUGAAAUGCGUAGAUAUCAGGAGGAACACCGGUGGUGUAGACGGCUUUCUGGACCGUAACUGACGCUGAAACACGAAAGCGUGGGUAGCAAACAGGAUUAGAUACCCCAGUAGUCG
rnacentral:rRNA from 1 species